CCUACGGGAGGCAGCAGUAGGGAAUCUUCCACAAUGGGCGAAAGCCUGAUGGAGCAACGCCGCGUGGGUGAAGAAGGUCUUCGGAUCGUAAAACCCUGUUGUUAGAGAAGAAAGUGCGUGAGAGUAACUGUUCACGUUUCGACGGUAUCUAACCAGAACGCCACGGCUAACUACGUGCCAGCAGCCGCGGUAAUACGUAGGUGGCAAGCGUUAUCCGGAUUUAUUGGGCGUAAAGGGAACGCAGGCGGUCUUUUAAGUCUGAUGUGAAAGCCUUCGGCUUAACCGGAGUAGUGCAUUGGAAACUGGGAGACUUGAGUGCAUAAGAGGAGAGUGGAACUCCAUGUGUAGCGGUGAAAUGCGUAGAUAUAUGGAAGAACACCAGUGGCGAAAGCGGCUUUCUGGUCUGUAACUGACGCUGAGGUUCGAAAGCGUGGGUAGCAAACAGGAUUAGAUACCCGGGUAGUC
rnacentral:rRNA from 1 species